rfam:Strongyloides venezuelensis genome assembly, scaffold: SVE_scaffold0000009
CCAACGGCCCUCUUUAGGGCCAACAAUUAUAUACUUGUCGCUUUA